rnacentral:rRNA from 1 species
UACAGAGGUGGCAAGCGUUGUUCGGAAUUACUGGGCGUAAAGGGCGCGUAGGCGGUCGAUUAAGUCCCGUGUGAAAUCCCUCGGCUCAACUGAGGAACUGCACGGGAAACUGGCUGACUUGAGUUCGGGAGAGGGAAGCGGAAUUCCGGGUGUAGCGGUGAAGUGCGUAGAUAUCCGGAGGAACACCGGUGGCGAAGGCGGCUGCCUGGACCGAUACUGACGCUGAGGCGCGAAAGCUAGGGGAGCAAACGGG